ACCAGACUCCUACGGGAGGCAGCAGUGGGGAAUAUUGGGCAAUGGGCGCAAGCCUGACCCAGCAACGCCGCGUGAAGGAAGAAGGCUUUCGGGUUGUAAACUUCUUUUGACAGGGAAGAGCAGAAGACGGUACCUGUCGAAUAAGCCACGGCUAACUACGUGCCAGCAGCCGCGGUAAUACGUAGGUGGCAAGCGUUGUCCGGAUUUACUGGGUGUAAAGGGCGUGUAGCCGGGCUUACAAGUCAGAUGUGAAAUCCGGGGGCUCAACCCCCGAACUGCAUUUGAAACUGUAGGUCUUGAGUAUCGGAGAGGCAGGCGGAAUUCCUAGUGUAGCGGUGAAAUGCGUAGAUAUUAGGAGGAACACCAGUGGCGAAGGCGGCCUGCUGGACGACAACUGACGGUGAGGCGCGAAAGCGUGGGGAGCAAACAGGAUUAGAUACCGGGUAC
rnacentral:rRNA from 1 species